GAAAAACAAGUUUCCAAAUGAUCACCCAAGUUAAGCAACAUUGAGUCUGAUCAGUACCAAGAUGGGUGACUGCUUGGGAAUAUCAGGUGCUGCAAU